GGAUGGGCUAGACUGGAGGGUUAGGGGUCCUCUGUAAGCGCAUAUCCCCUAUAUGGUGCAGUCGAAGUUCAAGAGGCGGCAGAUUAACUGGGUGAUGGCCCAGAGAUUCAACGUCGAAACCUCGUCCCACAGGAUCAGUGGUGGCCGGAUUUCAACUGUAGGGUUGAAAUUAACUGUCUUAACCAGGGGAACGGGUCAGGUCUGGAAAGAAGCAGCUCUACUCUGGACAGCUGAUGCUUGCGGAGCAACGGGGUGGAGUUGGAUUUCUGGAUCACCAGCACUUGGAAGGUCUGUCCACUCUUGAACACGCCCACUU
rnacentral:SRP_RNA from 1 species